rnacentral:rRNA from 1 species
GACGAACGCUGGCGGCGUGCUUAACACAUGCAAGUCGAACGGAAAGGCCCUGCUUUUGUGGGGUGCUCGAGUGGCGAACGGGUGAGUAACACGUGAGUAACCUGCCCUUGACUUUGUGAUAACUUCAGGAAACUGGGGCUAAUAUCGGAUAGGAGCUCCUGCUGCAUGGUGUGGGUUGGAAAGUUUCGGCGGUUGUGGAUGGACUCGCGGCUUAUCAGCUUGUUGGUGGGGUAGUGGCUUACCAAGGCUUUGACGGGUAGCCGGCCUGAGAGGGUGACCGGCCACAUUGGGACUGAGAUACGGCCCAGAAGCCUACGGGAGGCAGCAGGGGGGAAUAUUGCACAAUGGGCGGAAGCCUGAUGCAGCAACGCCGCGUGCGGGAUGACGGCCUUCGGGUUGUAAACCGCUUUCGCAUGUGACGAAGCGUGAGUGACGGUAAUGGGUAAAGAAGCACCGGCUAACUACGUG